GACGAACGCUGGCGGUGUGCUUAACACAUGCAAGUCGAACGGUAAGGCCCUUUCGGGGGUACACGAGUGGCGAACGGGUGAGUAACACGUGAGUAACCUGCCCUCAUCUCUGGGAUAACAGUCGGAAACGGUUGCUAAUACUGGAUAUGAGCUUGCAAGGCAUCUUGUGGGUUGGAAAGAUUUUUUUUGGUUGGGGAUGGACUCGCGGCCUAUCAGCUUGUUGGUGAGGUAGUGGCUCACCAAGGCUUCGACGGGUAGCCGGCCUGAGAGGGCGACCGGCCACAUUGGGACUGAGAUACGGCCCAAACUCCUACGGGAGGCAGCAGUGGGGAAUAUUGCACAAUGGACGGAAGUCUGAUGCAGCAACGCCGCGUGCGGGAUGACGGCCUUCGGGUUGUAAACCGCUUUCAAUUGUGACGAAGCUUUUUUGUGGCGGUAGCAGUAGAAGAAGCACCGGCUAACUACGUG
rnacentral:rRNA from 1 species